AGUGAACGCUGGCGGUAUGCCUAACACAUGCAAGUCGAACGGCAGCACAGUAAGUUCUUGCUCGUACGGGGUGGCAGUCGCGUACGUGAGAGGAAUACACCUGAAUCGACGUUUGGGUGAGGGAUGAGAAAGGGGAACUAACGCCAAUACCGCACACCAGCUGCGAGUGAAAGCAGUUCAGCUUCGGACCUUGCGCGAUUGAAGGAGCCGAUGUCGGAAUAGCUAGUUGGCGGGGUAAAGGCCCACCAAGGCGACGAUCCGUAGCUGGUCUGAGAGGAUGAUCAGCCACACUGGAACUGAGACACGGUCCAGACUCCUACGGGAGGCAGCAGUGGGGAAUUUUGGACAAUGGGCGAAAGCCUGAUCCAGCCAUACCGCGUGGGUGAAGAAGGCCUUCGGGUUGUAAAGCACUUUUGUUCGGAAAGAAAAGCAGCAGGUUAAUACGGCGGUGUUAUGACGGUACCGGAAGAAUAAGCACCGGCUAACUUCGUG
rnacentral:rRNA from 1 species